CGCUCCCGUUCCCCGCGCUCGGCGGGCUGUGCCGCGGCCCAGGGGCUGCGGGGCGGGAGGCAGGGCCGGCUGCGGGGCGCUCACCUGCCCGCACGGCACGGCCCGGCCCCGCGGGUCAGAGCAGACAGGGCCUCAUCCAUUCCAGGAUGGGGCUGAGGGCCGGCCGUACGAGAUCUUUUCCUCUUGGAAAAGUGCAUAAAAUGUAAGAAAAUAGCCCCGAGUAGAAAAACGUCCGUCGCUCCCCGCAACAUCUCCCCGGGACACGCCGUCCAGGAGCGAUCAUAGUAUUGAUCUCUGAGCUAUCUCCAGAGCUGGCCACACUCCUUGUAGCGUCCAAAGAACAGAGACCUGACUGGCCGGACACACAUCUCUGCUGCAUUUUCAUAUUCUCCAAAAGUCCCCCAUUAAAAAGCUGAGCGGGGAACAAGGGUACAGUGCCACAUACUGUAGCAGAGACAAUCCCCAUCUGGAAUCCUGUCUCCGCGAGUCUCCUGGAAGGGCACAAAACAAAAGCCCGACACAACAACAACAACAACAACCACCACCAACCCUCCAAACUCCAGCUUUUCUUCCGGCGGGGAGAAAACCGCGUGAAAAACGCCCUCACAGCGGGCCCGCCGUCCGUGGGUCCCCCGCCGUCGGGGGGAGCCUGUGCCCGCCCCCGCCGCAGCCCUUGGCCGGUUCCGCGCUGCCCCAGAGUGCCCGGCCUCGGUACCUGCGAGACCCUCGCCCCGGCACGACCGGAGCGGGAACCUCGCUGCUCGUCCCGCCAGAUACACGACACAAACAGGCUCCGGUGCGGCUCUGGCCCGCAGCCAGUCG